UUUUCAGUAUAAGUGUGUCCCAUGCAAUAGUUGGGACAUAUAUGUACUAAAA
rfam:Myotis lucifugus cont2.26046, whole genome shotgun sequence.